rnacentral:misc_RNA from 1 species
UACAGAGGGUGCAAACGUUGUUCGGAAUUACUGGGCAUAAAGCGCACGUAGGCGGCCCUGCAAGUGUGAAGUGAAAUCCCACGGCUCACCCGUGGAUGUGCUUUGCAAACUGCUUGGCUCGAGGACGGAAGGGGAGAGCGGAACUCCAGGUGGAGCGGUGAAAUGCGUAGAUAUCUGGAGGAACACCGGUGGCGAAGGCGGCUCUCUGGUCCGUUUCUGACGCUGAGGUGCGAAAGCCAGGGUAGCGAACGGG